UUAGUGGCGGACGGGUGAGUAACGCGUGGGUAACCUGCCUUACGCAGGGGGAUAACACUUAGAAAUAGGUGCUAAAACCGCAUAAGCGCACAGCUUCGCAUGAAGCGGUGUGAAAAACUCCGGUGGUGUAAGAUGGACCCGCGUCUGAUUAGCUUGUUGGCGGGGUAACGGCCCACCAAGGCGACGAUCAGUAGCCGGCCUGAGAGGGCGGACGGCCACAUUGGGACUGAGACACGGCCCAGACUCCUACGGGAGGCAGCAG
rnacentral:rRNA from 1 species